UUUCUCGAAUGGGGUACCUGCGGAAGGAUCAUUACCGAGUGCGGGUCCUUUGGGCCCAACCUCCCAUCCGUGUCUAUUGUACCCUGUUGCUUCGGCGGGCCCGCCGCUUGUCGGCCGCCGGGGGGGCGCCUCUGCCCCCCGGGCCCGUGCCCGCCGGAGACCCCAACACGAACACUGUCUGAAAGCGUGCAGUCUGAGUUGAUUGAAUGCAAUCAGUUAAAACUUUCAACAAUGGAUCUCUUGGUUCCGGCAUCGAUGAAGAACGCAGCGAAAUGCGAUAACUAAUGUGAAUUGCAGAAUUCAGUGAAUCAUCGAGUCUUUGAACGCACAUUGCGCCCCCUGGUAUUCCGGGGGGCAUGCCUGUCCGAGCGUCAUUGCUGCCCUCAAGCCCGGCUUGUGUGUUGGGUCGCCGUCCCCCUCUCCGGGGGGACGGGCCCGAAAGGCAGCGGCGGCACCGCGUCCGAUCCUCGAGCGUAUGGGGCUUUGUCACAUGCUCUGUAGGAUUGGCCGGCGCCUGCCGACGUUUUCCAACCAUUCUUCCAGGUGACCUCGGAUCAGGUAGGUCCCAUCAC
rnacentral:rRNA from 1 species